rnacentral:rRNA from 1 species
GACGAACGCUGGCGGCGUGCUUAACACAUGCAAGUCGAACGAUGAAGCCCAGCUUGCUGGGUGGAUUAGUGGCGAACGGGUGAGUAACACGUGAGUAACCUGCCCUUGACUCUGGGAUAAGCGUUGGAAACGACGUCUAAUACCGGAUACGAGCUUCCACCGCAUGGUGAGUUGCUGGAAAGAAUUUUGGUCAAGGAUGGACUCGCGGCCUAUCAGCUUGUUGGUGAGGUAAUGGCUCACCAAGGCGACGACGGGUAGCCGGCCUGAGAGGGUGACCGGCCACACUGGGACUGAGACACGGCCCAGACUCCUACGGGAGGCAGCAGUGGGGAAUAUUGCACAAUGGGCGAAAGCCUGAUGCAGCAACGCCGCGUGAGGGACGACGGCCUUCGGGUUGUAAACCUCUUUUAGCAGGGAAGAAGCGAAAGU